GCUUGUCUCAAAGAUUAAGCCAUGCAUGUCUUAGUGUAAAUAACUCUUAUGAAACUGCGAAUGGCUCAUUAAAUCAGUUAUCGUUUAUUUGAUGGUCCCUUACUACAUGGAUAACCGUAGUAAUUCUAGAGCUAAUACAUGCACAAAGGCCCGACUCACGAAGGGCUGUAUUUAUUAGAUGGAAACCAAUGCAGGGCAACCUGGAAUAUGGUGAUUCAUAAUAACUUUGCGAAUCGUAUGCCUCACGGCGACGAUGAAUCAUUCAAAUUUCUGCCCUAUCAACUUUCGAUGGUAGGAUAGAGGCCUA
rnacentral:rRNA from 1 species